GUUGAGGUGGUUAUCAACUUUGAGCACAGAUAAGUGCAAAAUUUGCACAAAGCUCUCUCUUGAAACAAAGCCCCAGAAAUUUUCCUUCUAAAACUGCACCUGCACACACCCCCAACACACAUCACACACGCACACAAAUAUAAAACAACACACGUAUACACACGAACAUUUCUCUUAUUUUCCUCUCCAGCCAUCAUUCUCAGGGAUCAGCAUGGUUUUGGUUGCUUGCUAUGCCAUGUAUUUUCUGGAAACUGCCAUUUUCAAACCAGAGGUGAUUAUAGAUCGAUGAGGCUGCUGCACCAGUUCAGUGCGAUUCUCUUUUUCAGGGAGUACCUCUUACUUCGCUCUUAUAUUGUGUGAUAUUGUCAUGAUGGAUAUAAUUUGGCAGGUUGAUUUUAUUUUGGUAUUUUCUUAAUGACAUUUAAAUUAGUAUGAUUUUUUUUUCACUGGCUUCUUUAGUUUAGUUGUAGGAAUGGUGUUGGGAUGUGAUUUUGGUCCCUUGGCCAAUUUUUGGCUUGCUUGGUACCAACAUAUUUAAACCUUGGCAUAUGAAUUCUUGAAUUUUGAAAAAGAAAAAUGAUUGAAGUAAGGAUUCUUGUUGUGACAUUUAGACUCAAUGUUUGGCUCUUUUGUUCCCUAAAUAGUCUCUUUAGACUAGAAGUUUUGAGUUCAUUUGUUUCAAUUGGGUUUUUGAUAUAUAUAUUCUACUUGGGUUUUCAUGUGCCAUGUGUGGUGAGGUUUAUUUGUGAGUUCUUUUGCAUAUCUUGUGGUCUAGAACUUGUCUGGAAUGUGUUUUAAGGCGAAAUCCUAGAUUAACUUGGUUUGGAAAAUGAUAUUAGACCUUCCUUGGAUCGUUUUUGUGCCCUUAAUUUCCUACCCUUGCAUAUUUUCCCUAGUCAACCCCUUUUGAGCCUUUAACCUUUUCUUUGACAACCAUGUUACAAGUUUUUCCCCUUUUGUUCCUCAUUGACCUAUCUUUUGGCAUCCUACCUCCCUAAGUGUUUUGAAAGUGCAAACAUAGGCUAAAAGCCUAAGUUUGGGGGUGAUGGUUGGAAAAGUUGUGAUGUGGGAGUUACUUUAAUGGUGAAAAGGUGGGAAAAAAAAGUACUGUAGUAGAAUAGAAAAGAAAAAAAUUUGGAAACUUCCUUGUUAUUUUGAAAAAGAAAAAAAAAGAAAGCAAUAAUAAAGAAUUGUGAAUAAAGGGACGACUAGGUGGUGAAAUAAAAAAUUAAAAAAAAUGGUGGGGAAGUUUUGAAAGGAAGUGCGCUUUGAUUGUUGCAAAUUCUAGUGCUUAGGGAGGUUUUGAGUCACUCUUACCCAAAUUGUGCCCUACUUUAACCAAAAGUCUACAUUACAACCCUUUAAGUCAUAAUUGAUUUUGAACCAAGUGUGUCUACAUUAGUGGAGAAAUACAUAAAGGGCAAGCCUAUGGUACUAAUUGUGUGCAUUUGAACAUCUUCGUGAGAGAGAGAGUUAAUUCUUUCCAUUUGAUAUCCCAUUUGUGUUUUAAAUUGCAUUUUAUGAGUUGGGAUUCUCUCUUGAUUGUGAGGGCACAUGAGAAUUUGAGUUGUAAAUUUGUUCCAUUUUUCAAUUGAGAGGAAUGAACAAAAGAAAGUUGUUUUAUGAUAAUGAGGGGCAAAUUUUGAAUCCUUAAUGUCAUGACUUGAUUGCUUUUUUGAUUAACUUGGUGUUUGAGCACUUGAAAUGAAAUGAAAUUUUUGAGAAGUUGUUGGUGAUAUGUCUUAAAUUAAUUGUUGGUACCAACCAAAGUCAUGCGGUUGUGCUUAUAGUAGACUUUUUGACUUGGUACGAUGUUGGUGCACUUUUGAAUUGGGUCCUUAGAAAGAAAUUUUAUGUUUUGAUUUGCUUGAGGACAAGCAAUAGUUUAAGUUUGAAGGUUUGAUAAGUUAGUAAAAUACCAACUUAUCUCUUCUUUAAUCUUAAGAUUUUUGCUACAUUGUUUGAGAAAUAGUGCAUUUAAUGUGGUUUACUUUUAUGAUAUUUAGAAGUGAUCGGGAAAGAAACCAAGUGAAAACAAGUCAAAUUGAAGAAAAUGUCAAAAUUGGCUAGAAUUGCAAAAACAGCCAGAACUUAAAUGCUGAAAAUUAAGGGCUGUUUUGGUCAUUUCCUGAUUUGAGAAGGGGGAAAUAUAAAAGGAAGACUUGGGGGAAAACAUUUUCAUCUUUGGUCAUUUUUCAAGCUUAGGAGCAAGAACCACACCAAGGGGUUGAAGAUUUGGAAGCACUCAAUGAGAAUUUCUUUACCCAUUUCUUUAACUCUAGCUUUGUAUUGUAUAUCUAAGGGUGUAGCAUAUUAUUUAUCACUUUAAUCAUGUUUAUGGAAAUAUUCAUUUGUUAAAGUUUGGAUUGAAACUCUUGUUUUGCUUAUUUAUUGAAUGACUUUUAUUUCUAA